GAUGAACGCUAGCGGCAGGCUUAAUACAUGCAAGUCGAGGGGCAGCAGGGUGUAGCAAUACACUGCUGGCGACCGGCAAACGGGUGCGGAACACGUACGCAACCUUCCUUCAAGUGGGGGAUAGCCCAGGGAAACUUGGAUUAAUACCUCGUAAUAUUAUGAAGUGGCAUCACUUUAUAAUUAUAGCUCAGGCGCUUGAAGAUGGGCGUGCGGCUGAUAGGUAGUUGGCGGGGUAACGGCCCACCAAGCCUUCGAUCAGUAACUGGUGUGAGAGCACGACCAGUCACACGGGCACUGAGACACGGGCCCGACUCCUACGGGAGGCAGCAGUAAGGAAUAUUGGUCAAUGGACGCAAGUCUGAACCA
rnacentral:rRNA from 1 species